UCGGGCAGCAUGCUGUUCGGUGUCACACCUAACGGAUUAAGCAUUCCGCCUGGUGAGUUCGUCUGCAAGGUUAAUACUCAUAGGAAUUGACGGGGGCCCGCACAUAUCGGUGGAGCAUGUGGUUUAAUUCGAAGCAACGCGCAGAACCUUACCAACCCUUGACAUCCUGGUCGCGGUUACCCGAGAGGGUUUCCUUCAGUUCGGCUGGACCAGUGACAGGUGCUGCAUGGCUGUCGUCAGCUCGUGUCGUGAGAUGUUCGGUUAAGUCCGGCAACGAGCGCAGCCCACACCCUUAGUUGCCAGCAGUUCGGCUGGGCACUCUAGGGGAACUGCCCGUGAUAAGCGGGAGGAAGGUGUGGAUGACGUCAAGUCCUCAUGGCCCUUACGGGUUGGGCUACACACGUGCUACAAUGGCAGUGACAAUGGGUUAAUCUCAAAAAGCUGUCUCAGUUCGGAUUGUCGUCUGCAACUCGACGGCAUGAAGUCGGAAUCGCUAGUAAUCGCGUAACAGCAUGACGCGGUGAUACGUUCCCGGGCCUUGUACACACCGCCCGUCACACCAUGGGAGUUGGGUUUACCCGAAGACGGUGCGCCAACCUUAGGGGGCAGCUGGCCAC
rnacentral:rRNA from 1 species